AAUGAACGCUGGCGGCAUGCCUUACACAUGCAAGUCGAACGACAGCAUGACCUAGCUUGCUCGGUUGAUGGCGAGUGGCGAACGGGUGAGUAAUGCAUCGGAACGUGCCUUUUGGUUGGGAUAACGUAGCGAAAGUUACGCUAAUACCGCAUAUUCUCUUAGGACGCAAGCAGGGGACCUUCGGGACUUGCGCUAGAAGAGCGGUCGAUGUCGGAUUAGCUAGUUGGUGAGGUAAAGGCUCACCAAGGCAACGAUCCGUAGCGGGUCUGAGAGGAUGAUCCGCCACACUGGGACUGAGACAAGGCCCAGACUCCUACGGGAGGCAGCAGUGGGGAAUUUUGGACAAUGGGCGCAAGCCUGAUCCAGCCAUGCCGCGUGAGUGAAGAAGGCCUUCGGGUUGUAAAGCUCUUUCGGCUGGGAAGAAAUCGCACCCUCUAAUACAGGGUGUGGAUGACGGUACCAGCAUAAGAAGCACCGGCUAACUACGUG
rnacentral:rRNA from 1 species